GAGGGUAUAGCUCAAGUGGAAGAGUACAUGCUUAGCAUACACUAGGUCCUGGGUUCAAUCCCCAGUACCUCCA
rfam:Camelus ferus unplaced genomic scaffold scaffold60782, whole genome shotgun sequence.